rnacentral:rRNA from 1 species
GAUGAACGCUGGCGGCGUGCCUAACACAUGCAAGUCGAACGGAGUCCAGCCUUUAAGGCCUUCGGGUCAAAGCGGGGAAGACUGAGUGGCGGACGGGUGAGUAACACGUGGGCAACCUGGCUCAUAGAGGGGGAUAACAGAGAGAAAUUUCUGCUAAUACCGCAUAAGCACACACUGCCGCAUGGCAGUGGGUGAUAAGAGAAUCGCUAUGAGAUGGACCCGCGUCUGAUUAGCCAGUUGGCAGGGUAAGAGCCUACCAAAGCGACGAUCAGUAGCCGAUCUGAGAGGAUGAGCGGCCACAUUGGGACUGAGACACGGCCCAAACUCCUACGGGAAGCAGCAGCGGGGGAUAUUGCACAAUGGGGGGAACCCUGAUGCAGCGACGCCGCGUGAGUGAAGAAGUAUGUCGGUAUGUAAAGCUCUAUCAGCAGGGAAUAUAAUGACAGUACCUGAAUAAGAAGCCCCGGCUAACUACGUG